CUGUAGGUUUAUUGCCGAGUUAAAAACGAGGAAACUGAGGCCAGCACAAGAAAAUUACAUGCCAAUUUAUUCAGCUUCCAGGCGAGGUUCUGUGUUCCCAUGGUCUCUGGG